UACGGAGGGGGCAAGCGUUGUUCGGAAUUACUGGGCGUAAAGGGCGCGUAGGCGGCUUGGUAAGUCGGUGGUGAAAUCCCGCGGCUCAACUGCGGAAUUGCCAUCGAUACUGCCGGGCUUGAAUCCGGGAGAGGUCGGCGGAAUUACUGGUGUAGCGGUGAAGUGCGUAGAUAUCAGUAGGAACACCGAUGGCGAAGGCAGCUGGCUGGACCGGAAUUGACGCUGAGGCGCGAAAGCGUGGGUAGCAAAC
rnacentral:rRNA from 1 species